GUUGCCUUUUGUGAUGAACGAAUUAGCAGAAGAGUUCUUGAAGACUAUAUUCAUCACCCAAGACUGAUAUCCAUU